AAAAAGGAGAUUUUCAACUUUAUUUAAUCAUAUUUUCUGAAAUUAAGUCUCCUAAUUAAACCCUAAUACCCUAAGUUAUAUAUUCCCUCAAACCCUUAAAAAAAUUCCCUACGUGACUCAAAAAAAAAAAAAAGCUUCAUCUCUCAAAACCUCUACUGCCGUCAUCCCGUCUCACCAUCUUUAAUUCAACCGUGCUGACGAAGGCUACUUAGGAGAUAUGCAAGGAGACUACUAGUUCGAAGUACGUGCGUGUUCAAGGUUGGUAAAGGUACUUGGCUACGAGUGAGGAGACUCUUAGAAUAACCACCUAGUCAAGAGACAAUUUCUAUUUCGGUUUAGAUGGUUCGUACUAGAGUAAUUGCAAGGAAACAAACUGCUAGGAGAGGUCCGGGUGUUCGAGCAUCGACCCCGUAUGAGCUACGAAUUCGUGAUGGAGAAUAUGUCCCGCAUUUUAUUAACCGGUUAAGAGCUUGCAUGGAAAGCUAUAGGUUGAAUGACCUACCAGAGGAUAAUGAUUUUCACACUCCGGCUAGGCAAGCUGAAGUUUUAAUAAGAACCCUUCCUAUUGUAGGACCACUAGCUCAAGUAAGGAGAAGGCAUAGCCGUAUUUUUGUUAACGGGGAGCCUAAUACCCUAAGGUACAAUUAUAUGGGACGUUGGUUCUUGGAUCUUGUCCACUUGAAGGGCGAGAUGAUUGAUGCUAUUACUGCUUGGGACUAUGAUCGCAUACCGGAUAAUCAAAAUAGUGCCCCAGAAACAAGUGACUCAUCGGGCUCCGACUAGAAAGCUAAAAUUAGUCGUUAAAUUAGAGUAGAAAUUAGAAAACUAAUAAGGCCAUUAGGCCAAAGAUUGCCUUAUAUACUUUAAUAGCUGGAUGCUUAAUGCCGUGAACUACUACUAGUAUUACUGUUGGUUAUUAUUACUAUAUGGAGCGAAAUAUUAUGAGUUAAUUUUUUUUUUUUUAAUAUUUUGUUUCCUAUCAUA